UCUGUAAGUAGAAUCUCUGUGUUUGUUUGAAUUCUUGUACUUUGACUGUCUGCUCUCCUGAUAACUGAUGAUGGAGGAGAAGACAUGAAAAACAAAUCAGGCUGAAUUCAAGUUCAAACACCACGAGGACCAACUGCAGUUCUGAUCUCACUGCUGAGCUGCACAACAAACCAAGCUCGUCUGACUGUGAGUCCCAGCA